rnacentral:miRNA from 1 species
GUGUGUGUGUGUGUGUGUGUGUGUGUGUGUCCCAACCCCGUGUAUGAGGGACACACAUACACAC